AACUUCUCACAAAACUUCAUCAGACACCUCUCUCUCACUCUCUCUCUCACACUCGGUGACUCAAGAACAUCAUGCCAGAUCUCUCAAGAUGCAGUUUCAUGACUAGAUCUGUGAGGAUUUCACUAGAUCGAUGGUCUGCAAUUGUUCUAGGAAUCUUGAAAAUCUUUCAUCAUUCAAACGAUACCUGAAUCUCUAAUCCCGCCCAAAUCCUUUUCUCUUUGCAGUCCCGGUUCAAAUUUUGAAUCUCUAAUUGAAGCACAUGAAACCCUGGCCACAUAUUUUCACAUACAUCCCGAAAAGAUGAAAAAAAAGGCAGUUGGCACCAAAUCACCUCCCAUUCUCUUUCGGUUCUCUCUCAAUACACUAUUACCACACAUCGAUUAGCCCCUGUUCUUCGUCAUCACCAAAUGGCACCCAGGUACAUCUUCUCUCUGUAUAAUGCUCUUGAAUCAUUUUUGUGUUAUUAGUUUAGUAUUCUACGUUUAAAAGGGUUUUACUGCUACCUAGCAACCUGAAGUUGCAGACCUAGGGUUUUGAAUACCCAAUUUCAGGCAAAAGAAGAUUUAUAGAAGAAGUUAUGAGCGUUGAUCUUUGUGUCAGUUGAGUACAGAGCAGGAGAUCGACAUUGUUUCGAAUCUGUGAUUCCAAGUUGAAGUUUUUGGAAAUUGGGAAGACCAUGCUGGGAUUUCAGAAUUCUUAAGAGUAAUUCGUUUGUUGCAACUUUGAUUUCUUAAAGUCUAUGUCUAUUUAAGUGUUUCUUGAAUUCAAGCACAAGCCCCAAAGUUCCUGGUGAUUUCUUGUGCAUAUUCAAGAGUUUACCCCCCUCAUAUAUCCAAGGAUUUCAACCUGGUGAAGCUUUUGUGGUCCGAAAUGUGGCUAACCUUGUUCCACCACUAAAGCUGACUCCACAGAUUCUCCGAAAAUUGACAGUUUUUGGUGGGGCUGAGACAUCAGUACAGCCCGAGCAAAGAGAGGGAACCAUUCCAACUGGAUUUCGGUGGGCUGAGUUGCAGGUCACAAGGUAGAGGUUGUGGUGAUAUUUGUGCAGUUCAAAACAAGUCAGAUUGGGGUAUUGUUGUAAAAAUGGUCAGGGACCUGGAUGUGGGGAAGAUGAGUCUUUUCUGAUGGUCAAUCUACUGCUUAUAGAAGUUAUAUUGAAAGGUUCAUGGCCCUUGAUGAACUUUAGUCUGAUCCAAACUCAAAGAGCCUGAAGAUCGGUGACCUUUGGUGGCAACGGUCAUGAAGAAACUAUGGUAGCAGUCGGAAUCAAGACUAGAUGGAAGUGGUUUUGGGUUGCUAGGGUUCUGUCAUGAACCCAGGUAGUGCUGACGCCUUAGAAGAGCUCUAUGAUGAUUAGGGGUUGAUUCCAGGUACUCAAGAACAUAAUAAGAUAGAUGGCUCCUUUCAUCCAGUUUUGGUCGUUCAUCGGGUGCCGUUACGAAACCAAAGACGGUUGGGCAUUGUCUCUUCACUCUUGAAUUAUCAUUCGUAGCCUUAUCCAGUUUCUGUUUGUCGAUUUGUAUAGUCGUGGAUUUGGCGAUUAACGCUAACUAAAACAAUGCCGGCUAUUAGGGAUUGGUUAUGGUAUGUCUACUGGUCUGAUUCCUUUCAUUGCUGAUAUACAGUCUGAACAUAGGUAACUUUAAUUCAAUCAUUAGUGCAGCAGUCCGGUUUGUCGAUUGUUCAUUGUCACCGCCUAUUGGUUUUUAGAUACUAUUUUCUAAGUGUGUUUGGUUGAUUGAAUAGACUUGAUUUAGAGUUUGGGCAAAGGGGUUGUUUUGUGAUUUUUCUAUUAUGUAAUGUUAUAAUAUUAUAUGAAGUUACUAAGUUCAAUACAAAAUUUUGGGUUACAAAUUAGCUAAAUUGUCGUUUGGAAUGGUCUAUUUGGUGACUGCUUAUUCGGUUUGAUUAUCUGCUUAUUGUGUUUUGUUGCAGUAAUAACAUGGCAAAAGUGCCCAAACCACAGGGACCAAAAUGGCAGUUUACUCUUUUAAAAAUGAAAAUGAUACUCUUGAUUCAUUGAUUUAUGAAGAUUCGGGUUCUUCAGAUUUAUAUUUAUUUAUGUGGUAAUAACACAAUAGGCUGCUCUGAUUCAUUUAGUGAUUUUUUUUUUUUCCGAAAAAGGGACCAAAUUUCUUUUUCUUAGAUUAUCUUUUGUUAUGUGAUUUGCUAAAAAGUUGUUUUGUGGGUUCAUUUAAUUAUUUAGUGAGUAAUGUGGAGUUGUGGAAUGAACCAUUAACUAUGUUUUCUGUAAAGGCCUACUAACUAAAAUACAUAGAUUGGUAUCGGCUGCUGUUGAUUGUGGCUUGACAAUUUGGUUACUCUGUUUUAACCGAUUUUGUUUCUUGAUUGAUAUUGUGUUGCAAAUUUUAAAAUGACAAUAAUGGUCCAUGGAGACUAAAAAAUGGCAUCCAGUUUGGUUUAUACGACAUUUUUUCAAUAUAGGUCAGAUCUAUCAUACAAUGUGGAUAAAAAAGCUUUCAAAGUGAUAAAUCCUAGAAGAAGCCUAGAGGAGGAAUAUCUAAUCUGGACUAUCAAGCAAAGAUCAUUACAACCUGGUGGAUAACAUGAAAGAAUAGUUAUAUUCUCCACAAGGGAAAAUCUUCUUAGAAUCUCCCAAUUUGUUUUGGUUUCAUUAGACGGAUAUUACAACC